GGCUCAAUUCUGUACCUUUAAUUUUACUUGGAAUUAAUCUCCUGUCAGUUGUGGUCCUUAAAAACCUACAAUGUGAUCUUUAUAACACUGAUGCUUUAUCCUAAAGUUGGAUACAUUUUUUAUUUGUAUCAGUUAAUUAAUGCAGACAUAAAUGUCACAAAUAUAACGCAAAUGUGUAGAAUAACUGCCAUACAAGGAGUACCUGCACACUAAAUCAAAGUUCCCUUUAACUGACAAACUACAGGUCUUCUUCAGGCAAUAGAUUCGAAUUUUGUAUGCGGCGCUUAUCCCACUGAGGUUUUGUGGAUUUGCACAUGACCACUGAUUUAUUUCAGUGUAUAGAUAAAUCAUGCAUUGCUCAAAGAUUUGGUUUGGUCCAGCUGUGUGCUGUAAGACUCCAGUGUUGUAGGGCAGAGCCUGGAGCACAUUGUGCUGCUGGAUUGUAGUUUUAACAGCUGAUUCGAUCACCCUGUGCUGGGAGCCCGACGCUUCCUGGCUAUUUAUGGCAGAUGCCCCUCUAUCGAGGCCGCUCUCUUCAGCCCAUACAUGGUUGCUGUUGGAUAAGGUUACCAUGCCGAUUUUGGCCCACACUCCCCAAACCCUUUGGAAGCAGUGUUGGGUCGCCUUUUACCAUCAGUCUAAACUAACACACCAGAGUCCCAAACCUGAUUUACAAGAAUGGACAUUUUAAGAAACACAAGCUUGACUUUCGGAAUAGUUUGAAGAACCACUUAGGACUAGUCUGUUCGAGCACCCCUGUUGUGUAUUUUUCUCAGCUAUUCUUCACCCUUCCUCUCACCUCAGCCGCUGUCUCUCUCCCUCUCUCCUUUACCCCUCUCCUGCUUACCCCACUCCCUCUCAUUCCCUCUCCCUCUCCCUUCGUCUCUUUCUUCUUUGCUCUGCUGUUCCUGGACUUAUUUAUUUGGCCGGGUGCAGCAGAGCAAGUGGGAAAGCACCACGCUAUAUUUGUCGGCUGCUGAGGUUGGACCUGCUUCAUGGUGGAUGACUUUGGAUCCUCUGUUGUUUGUGGUUUACCUGCUCACACACCUGCACUUCCUGCCUCCUCAACAUCUGUUCUGCUCUGAAUAAGGAACUAGUGAGACCUUUUAUUUGGUGGUCUCAUAGCCCUGAACUUUACCAUCAGGAUAAAUGGACUUCACCAAUUUGUGUGUCAAAUUGAAGCUUAAGCAUUGAUUUGGAUCUAACGCUCCCUCCAAACUUUGUAGCUCAGCCUCGUUGCCAACUGACGCCUUAAGUUUUCAGAGUGACUUCUCCUUGGG